AUGGCGGCGGGUCCGGCAGCGAGGGGAGCGCACUGCCGUCGUCGUCGUCGUCCUCCUCCUCCUCCUCCUCCUCUUCUCUUGCCCCCUGCGGUGAGAUGGCAAUGGGAUUCGGCCCCUGCCCCGCUUGGACGCCGUCGCCGCCUCCCCCUUCCCGGGUCCCCCCUCCCUCAGCAGGUGAGCACGUCGCUGCGCCUGCGCGGCCAACGUGGAGCCGAGAGCUCGGGGCGGUACGGGGCGCAGCGAGGCACAAACUUCCCCCGGGAAUUCGCUGCCCUCCCCACGCUCGGGCCCGGCCCGGCUGCGGGGGUGGUUCAGGGCCCGCCCCCAGGGGCCUCGGGCGGGUGCGGGAAGGGAGUGCAGUGACGUUGGUUGGGAGGAUGGGUGGGUAGGCACCGACAAAUGCAUGGUGCGGCGAGACAGAGCCGAGAUGUGGCUGGAAACCGGUUAAAGGAUCUUCAUCGGAGGGCGCGGAACGGGCUCCCCAGGGCAGUGGUCACCGUCCUAGGUUGUUGGAGUUCAAGGAGCGUUUGGACAAUGCUCUCAUACAUUGGGUUUGGAUUUUGGGUGGUCCUGUGUGGAGACAGAACUCGAUAAUCCUCGCGGGUCCCUUCCAACUCGGGAUAUCCUGUAAUCCUAUGACUCACCAAAACGCCACUCUGAGGUUUCUAAACCCUUCCUUGUGUGACGAAGCUCUUCUCUGAGGCGCCCAUUGCUGGGUGUGUGAAGGUCUGUCGAAAACACACUGGCUUGCUGGCAGCCACCUCGUGAAACCUUUUGUGUCCUAUUCUAUUUGCAAACCUGAGGUGUGUUAUUUACAAAUAGGAUGUGAAUAAAGCAUCACUAUUGCGGUUUUCUAUUUGAAACUGGGUGGGAGAUGUUCUUGGCCACUUUGCAGAAACUUUAGAUUAGUUGCUGGAUUUUUUUUAUUGUUAUUAUUUUUACUGUGUGUGUGUGUGUGUUCAGUUCUCUCAGUGAGACACAGAGAGCUAUUAAAGCAGCUGCCAUUCAUUCUCCAACAAUAGGAUUAUUUCAAAACUGCCAUGUUGCCAAUGAUGUCAUAUGAAGGCUAGAAAUACAUGAUGGGAUUUGCAAGAAAUGUUGAACCAUGAGUCUUCUAUAUAGCACUGCUCUAUGAAGAAUGUACUUGACAAUCACAAGCAUCCUGACAUGUUUGUACUGAAAUACAUUGCUGUCAUUUUUAAGUAAUUUGAGGGAAAAAAAAGUGUGUAGAUGGAUAGUUUGCUGUGCACUGACCACAAAGUGAGCAAGAUACAUUCACAGCAAAUAUAUAUAUAGUUUUUCCUAAUUUUUUGCUACAUGUGAAAAAAAAAUAAUUUUCAACAGUCUAUUUUGUAGUAGGUAAACUGAAAGACUGGUUGUGAUGCUUAUGUAUAGGUAGACUUGGAAACAGAGGUCUAGGAAAGAGUUUCUGAGAUUAAUAGGGCAAAAAUACCUGAAGAGCAGCCCACAAGGAAAUGAGGUAGAAUGGGUGAUUAUAUUUAACUGUGGUUUUAAAAAAGAAAAAUCUGCUACUUGUGUCAGAUGGCUUCUAUUCCCUCUAAACCUGGCAUGCACAGACCAUUCCCAGGCAGCAAGUGAGGGCACUGCCCAAGGAGCGCUCUGGGAAACUCUCCAACCACUGCACCUCCACCCUCACCUCCAGCCUCCCAACACAUCCCUGGUUACCACACCUCUGUGCUUUUCACCUGUAAUUACACUCCAAUUUUAAAUAUGUCACUAAAUGUACUGUGUGAAUUUGAUGGCUAUAUGCAUAUUAAAAGGAAACUAACUCAUACAGCCAUCAGAUAGAAAAGCAGAGCUUACAGCUGCCUUUCGUCUUGCAGGGCAUUAUUAUGCUGGUGGACUAUCUGUCCAGAUAUCAAUGGGGUAAGUCAAGUUUUUCUUCCUUUCUCUAACCAUGUCUUCUACUACUAUUGCCACUGUCUGCCCUUUCUUUUGUCAUUUUUCCUUCACUUUUUUUUUUUUUUUUUUUUUUUUUAGCAUUUAUAGCUUUGUUCAUUCUUUCAUAAAAUGUACAAAACAUGAAAGCAAGCUCGGUAUUAUUUCCUUGGAAAAUUUAGUUGUUGUGUUCUGAAUAUAUAUAUUCAAAUUCUGAAGAUAUAUCUGAUAAUUCCACAAAAUAUGUUCAUAAACCUUCAAAUUUUGUAGUGUCUGGGCAGGUUUGAUUAAAACAUAUUGCAGUAUACAAAGAAUUUACUCCGAGCUCAGUGAAGUCCUGGGGGAAUUGUCUGGAAUCACAUUAAUUCCCACCCCUUCUGGGUGACAAAACCCUUUAUGUAACUGAAUAGUACUUUAUUUCUAGAGGGUAAGUCAGUGGAAGAUAAAUGUAUUCUGCACAGUUCUGGAUAUGGUAGAUAAUCAAGAAUAAAAGUCUGUUCCUAAGUGAAUCUGUAGCAGUUGUUAAUGUAUCUCCGUGGGAAUGGAAACUGAGCAUUAAUGUAAAAGACUGUGUUUUCAUAGCAGUCUAGACUUCCCUAAUUGUCAGUAACAGGGGCCCACAUAUCCCUGCAGUCCCAUUCCUCACCUUGUGCUAGAGCCAGAGCUUGUCAGGCCUUUCCUCCAGCCAUUGCUGUAUGUUGAUUUUGCAGAAAACUGAACUGACAAAAGAGCAAAUAACUUUCUGCUGACUUACUGUGCUGAGUCUCUCGACUGCAGGAAAGACAGAGGCAGCCAAAAGCUGGAUAGCUUUACAUUGCCGGAGCUCUUAUUUCAGAUCACUCAGGAAUGUACGGUCUUUGCUGAGCAAUUUGCUUAAUUUUAAACUGAAGUAAUCCCACUAAGUGCUAUUUCAAGGUUAGCUAACAAGCGGCUCUGUUUCUCAAUCAGUAACUUAUCUUGGCUGCUAAUGACAGUAUUCAUGAGAUGGCCUCUAGUCAGCCUAACCUGAUUUUCAAAAUGCUCUCCUUAAGUUAUUGCAGCUCUGUGGAAGUCACAAGAAAGCCCUGGGGAUGAAUUAUGAAUGUGGCUUUCAAUACUCUUUUCCACACCUCAACUCCAAUUACUUUGUGAAAAAUGUAUGAAUUUGCUAACAGCUAGUUCUUUCAAUCCGCUCCUCCAUCACAAAUAUGGAAAGACAUAAAAGAAGGAAGCAUCACGUAUGUGUCACUUCUGAUAACUUUUUAUGUUGGCUCAUAUUUUUUGAAAGGAGGUUUGUCAUCAAGAAUGCUUGAAUUUUUCUUUAUAUCAUCAUCACGUUGUUAAAAGAAUGUCUGAUAAAAACAUUACUAUUACUCCUACCGAAUCUUAUUUGACAUGGAAGAAAUUGCUAUAAAA
ensembl:lncRNA